UACGUAGGGACCGAGCGUUGUCCGGAUUCAUUGGGCGUAAAGAGCUCGUAGGCGGCUAUUCAAGUCGAACGUGAAAUCUCGGAGCUCAACUCCGAACUGCGUUCGAUACUGGGUAGCUAGAGUCUGGUAGGGGGAUCUGGAAUUCCUGGUGUAGCGGUGGAAUGCGCAGAUAUCAGGAGGAACACCGGUGGCGAAGGCAGGUCUCUGGGCCACUACUGACGCUGAGAAGCGAAAGCAUGGGGAGCGAACAGG
rnacentral:rRNA from 1 species